rnacentral:rRNA from 1 species
UUGCCAGCCCGCUCAGUCAGAGUUUGAUCCUGGCUCAGGACGAACGCUGGCGGCGUGCUUAACACAUGCAAGUCGAACGGAAAGGCCCUGCUUUUGUGGGGUGCUCGAGUGGCGAACGGGUGAGUAACACGUGAGUAACCUGCCCUUGACUUUGGGAUAACUUCAGGAAACUGGGGCUAAUACCGGAUAGGAGCUCCUGCUGCAUGGUGGGGUUGGAAAGUUUCGGCGGUUGGGGAUGGACUCGCGGCUUAUCAGCUUGUUGUGGUAGUGGCUUACCAAGGCUUUGACGGGUAGCCGGCCUGAGAGGGUGACCGGCCACAUUGGGACUGAGAUACGGCCCAG